rnacentral:rRNA from 1 species
UACGUAGGGGGCAAGCGUUGUCCGGAUUAUUGGGCGUAAAGAGCGUGUAGGCGGCCAGGUAGGUCCGUUGUGAAAACUCGAGGCUCAACCUCGAGACGCCGAUGGAAACCAUCUGGCUAGAGUCCGGAAGAGGAGAGUGGAAUUCCCGGUGUAGCGGUGAAAUGCGCAGAUAUCGGGAAGAACACCCGUGGCUAAGGCGGCUCUCUAGUACGGUACUGACGCUGAGACGCGAAAGCGUGGGAGCGAACAGG